UAAUAUUGCGUUUGGUUUUGGUAGCUCGUUACAGGCAACAAUUUAGAGUCUCUGAUUCACUUCUUGAUAGUGGAUAAAGCGCUGUACGUUGCCGAUAUUGACUUUGGUUCAAAGAUUUAAUUAUUGGCUUCAAAAUGUGUUUUGGCCAAUACGAUCAAUGUUCCUAAAUCUCUGUCCCUAAUUAAUAUUGUAUCUGUUUUACAACUUUGUACUUGCCCUGGAAGACUCGAUUUAGUCCCAUGACUUUAGUCUUGAACCAUGGAACGAUUUGACA
rnacentral:lncRNA from 1 species